AUUGAACGCUGGCGGCAUGCCUUACACAUGCAAGUCGAACGGCAGCACGGGAGCAAUCCUGGUGGCGAGUGGCGAACGGGUGAGUAAAGUAUCGGAACGUGCCCAGUCGUGGGGGAUAACGUAGCGCAAGUUACGCUAAUACCGCAUACGAUCUAUGGAUGAUAGCGGGGGAUCGCAAGACCUCGCGCGAUUGGAGCGGCCGAUAUCAGAUUAGGUAGUUGGUGGGGUAAAGGCCCACCAAGCCGACGAUCUGUAGCUGGUCUGAGAGGACGACCAGCCACACUGGGACUGAGACACGGCCCAGACUCCUACGGGAGGCAGCAGUGGGGAAUUUUGGACAAUGGGCGAAAGCCUGAUCCAGCCAUGCCGCGUGCAGGAUGAAGGCCUUCGGGUUGUAAACUGCUUUUGUACGGAACGAAAAGGACUGCCCUAAUACGGUGGUCCCAUGACGGUACCGUAAGAAUAAGCACCGGCUAACUACGUGCCAGCCGCCGCUGUAA
rnacentral:rRNA from 1 species